rnacentral:lncRNA from 1 species
GAAUUUAAACAAAAAGAAAAAGAAAGAAUAGAAGACUAGGUUCGGCCAUCUUCUAAGCAAAAAUCAAGGUUCGUUCUUUGUCGUUUUUUUAUAAUUUUUACGUUUUUGAGAUCGUUGCUUCGAGUACUACAAAACCCAUACUUAAAUUUUUUAUUUUGAUGAAUAUUUUGAGUUGUGCCAUUGUUGAUAGCUUGUGAUUUUUGUGGUUUGAUGAUGAAAAAUGAAAGAUAUGUUUUAGCUUAACAUAUUUUGUAUUGGAAUUUCUGAUAAUUUUGAGUAAUUAGGACUUAAUUGCAAAAAUAAUAAUUUGAGGGACUAAAAUGUGAAAUUAAUGAAAUAUAUGGACUCGUAUGGUAAUGCGUAAGAUUCAGCUAAACAUGGGUAAUUGGAAAUUUUGUGUAUUUUGUGUUUUGUGCAAUAGGGACUAAAUUGUAAAAAAUAUAAAUGUUAGGGGAAAAAUGGUAAUUUGCCUAUUUAUGUGUUUUUGGACUAAAUUAAAUAAAAAUAUGUUUGAAUGAUCUUAAUUUGAAUAUUUUUAGAUCAAGAACUAAAGAAAUCGGAUUUGGAUUGGGGAAAAACGAAAGUUGUGGACUAGCCACCCGAUUCCGUUUUGUACCGUCUGAGGUAAGUUUAUAAGGAAAUAGACGUGUUUAUUUGGAAAUUUAAUGUUAUAUUUAUAUGCUGUUAUGAAAUAUUAGAAUUUAAAUAUGUUAUGACCGAACAUGAUUAAAUUUGGCUACUACACUUUCGAGUUCGAUUCGACCGAGUUACGUCGUCCGAAAGCCUUGUAUGAACCUUAGGAAUAGUUAGGAUACAUAUUUCAUGACAUAGGAUUCCGAUAUAUGUGUGCGAGUAAGACCAUGGCAUUGAUAUGUGGUUCCGAUAUGUGUUUACGAGUAAGACCCUGUCUGGGACAGUGGCAUCGAUUUGUGGCUACAUGUAAGACCACGUCUGGGACGUUGGCAUUGUACGAUUUAUGUGAUUAUUCAAGUGUCCUAUCCAAUUCCGAAUGGUUCAUCAGGCAAAGAUAAAUCGUGAUCGAACGUGUAAAAUGGGCUAAAAGGCAAGGUAUGAUUUAGCUUGUUAGCUAUCAAUAAUAAGGUAUGUAUGUGACUUGAUAGUUGAUAAAUUAUAUGUGAUGUAAGGUUAAAUAUAUACAUGAAUUAAAUAAGUGUAUUCGGCUUUGUACAAAUGGUAAGUAUAUUAUGGAAUUAAUUUUUGGUUAUACACAUAUAAGUGAUCAUAAAUAAUUGGUCUUAUAAGUGUUAUACGUACAUAAUAUUGAAUUAAGUCCACAAAUGGUAAGUAUAUUAUGGAAUUAAUUUUUGGUUAUACACAUAUAAGUGAUCAUAAAUAAUUGGUCUUAUAAGUGUUAUACGUACAUAAUAUUGAAUUAAGGUUUUUGGACUUAUAUAAUUGUGCAGUGGUUGAUUAAUUAUGACAUUUUGACUUUUGAAAUUGAGCAGUGGUUUUAUUACUUAACUUGUGAAUAUCCGGCUAAGGUAAUAAAUAUAUGUGGUUGGUAUAUUAUUAUUGAAGAUAUAAGUUGAAAGUAAGCUUGUUAAUGAUAUUGAAAUUUGGUUAAAUUAAAUUAAUUAUAUUAUCGGCUAGUUUAAUUAUUUAUGACUUAUUAAGCUUUAGUAGCUUACUGUGUGUAUAUUUGUCUUUAUUUUAUAGAUUUGGAGUCAAGCUACAAGCUCAGGGGCCGUUAGCCAAGUUCAUCACACUAUCAGCUAUUUUGGUACCUUUAUAAGUCAAACUUGAAUUAUGGCAUGUAUAAGUUGG